GACGGGGGAUGCGAGCGUUAUCCGGAAUGAUUGGGCGUAAAGGGUCCGCAGGUGGCCCGGUCAGUCCGCUGUCAAAGCCUGGGGCUCAACCCUGGAGAGGCGGCGGAGACCACCGGGCUUGAGUCCGGUAGGGGCAGAGGGAAUUCCCGGUGGAGCGGUGAAAUGCGUAGAUAUCUGGAGGAACACCGGUGGCGAAGGCGACGUCCUGGACCGGCAUUGACGCUGAGGCGCGAAAGCCAGGGGAGCAAACGGG
rnacentral:rRNA from 1 species